rnacentral:rRNA from 1 species
GAUGAACGCUAGCGGCAGGCCUAACACAUGCAAGUCGAACGGUAACAUGAGAGCUUGCUCUUGAUGACGAGUGGCGCACGGGUGCGUAACGCGUAUGCAACCUACCCUAUACAGGGGGAUAGCCCGGAGAAAUUCGGAUUAAUACCCCAUAAUAUUUUGUAACACAUGUUAUAAUAAUUAAAGCUUCGGCGGUAUAGGAUGGGCAUGCGUCCCAUUAGAUAGUUGGUGGGGUAAUGGCCUACCAAGUCUACGAUCUAUAGCUGGUUUGAGAGGAUGAUCAGCAACACUGGGACUGAGACACGGCCCAG